rnacentral:rRNA from 1 species
CCUACGGGAGGCAGCAGUGGGGAAUAUUGGGCAAUGGGCGAAAGCCUGACCCAGCAACGCCGCGUGGUGGAUGAAGGCCUUAGGGUUGUAAACACCUUUUAUUAGGGAAGAUAGUGACGGUACCUAAUGAAUAAGCAUCGGCUAACUUCGUGCCAGCAGCCGCGGUAAUACGAAGGAUGCUAGCGUUACUCGGAAUUACUGGGCGUAAAGAAUGCGUAGGCGGAUUAUUAAGUUGAUAGUGUAAUCCCCAAGCUCAACUUGGGAAUUGCUAUCAAAACUAAUAAUCUAGAAUACAUGAGAGAGUAAGGGAAUUCUUGGUGUAGGGGUAAAAUCCGUAGAUAUCAGGAGGAAGACCGGAAGCGAAAGCGCUUACUUGGACUGUUAUUGACGCUGAGGCAUGAGAGCGUGGGGAGCGAACAGGAUUAGAUACCCUGGUAGUC